rnacentral:rRNA from 1 species
GAAUUUUUCUCAAUGGGCGAAAGCCUGAAGGAGCGACGCCGCGUGGGGGAUGAAGGGUUUCGAUCCGUAAACCCCUGUCAUUCGUGAACAAUGCUCAUUAUUUAAAAGAUGGUGAGUUGAUAGUAACGGAAGAGGAAGGGACGGCUAACUCUGUGCCAGCAGCCGCGGUAAUACAGAGGUCCCGAGCGUUGUUCGGAUUCACUGGGCGUAAAGGGUGCGUAGGUGGCAUGGUAAGUUUGAUGUGAAAGCUCAGAGCUCAACUCUGAAAUGGCAUUGAAUACUACUGUGCUGGAGGUUUGGAGGGGGGACUGGAAUUCUUGGUGUAGCAGUGAAAUGCGUAGAUAUCAAGAGGAACACCAGUGGCGAAGGCGAGUCCCUGGACAACACCUGACACUGAGGCACGAAAGCUAGGGGAGCAAACAG